rnacentral:rRNA from 11 species
GCAAACAUUCAGUGCCUAGAAACAACCGAAGUUAGUGUUGAUGCUGAUCUUGGAAGCUAAGCAGAGUCAGCCCUGGUUAGUCCCUGGAUGAGAAACCACCAAUGAAUGCCAGGUGCUGUAGGCU